AUUAAACGCUGGCGGCAUGCCUUACACAUGCAAGUCGAACGGCAGCACGGGGGCAACCCUGGUGGCGAGUGGCGAACGGGUGAGUAAAGCAUCGGAACGUGCCCUGGAGUGGGGGAUAACGUAGCGAAAGUUACGCUAAUACCGCAUAUUCUGUGAGCAGGAAAGCAGGGGAUCGCAAGACCUUGCGCUCUGGGAGCGGCCGAUGUCGGAUUAGCUAGUUGGUGGGGUAAAGGCCUACCAAGGCGACGAUCCGUAGUGGGUCUGAGAGGAUGAUCCGCCACACUGGGACUGAGACACGGCCCAGACUCCUACGGGAGGCAGCAGUGGGGAAUUUUGGACAAUGGGCGAAAGCCUGAUCCAGCCAUGCCGCGUGAGUGAAGAAGGCC
rnacentral:rRNA from 1 species